rnacentral:rRNA from 1 species
GACGAACGCUGGCGGCGUGCUUAACACAUGCAAGUCGAACGGAAAGGCCUGCUUUCCCUUGUGGAUUGCGGGUACUCGAGUGGCGAACGGGUGAGUAACACGUGAGUGAUCUGCCCCCAACUUGGGUAUAAGCCUGGGAAACUGGGUCUAAUUCCCGAUAGGACUGCAGGGUGGUGCCUGUGGUGGAAAACGAUUUUCUAGUGGUUGGGGAUGAGCUCGCGGCCUAUCAGCUUGUUGGUGGGGUAAUGGCCUACCAAGGCGGCGACAGGUAGCCGGCCGGAGGGGGUGGACGGCCACAUUGGGACUGAGAUACGGCCCAGACUCCUACGGGAGGCAGCAGUGGGGAAUAUUGGACAAUGGGCGGAAGCCUGAUGCAGCGACGCCGCGUGGGGGAUGACGGCCUUCGGGUUGUAAACUCCUUUCGACCGCGAGGAAGCCACCUGGUUGGAAGGGUGGUGUCGGUAGUGGUAGAAGAAGCACCGGCUAACUACGUG